UUUUAAAGAAUUAAGAUUCUUCGAAGAAAUGUCGAGGGACGAGGUAACAUUCCCACCGAGUAUAAAUGUGAAACAAAAGAUGAAAUUCCGGUCGAAUAUGUCACUUUAUUGGGACAAUGAUGUCAUUCGCGGCAAAUCCUCCGUUUCAAGCAUGAUCACUCUUCAAAUUGUAAAAUGUACACCGCGUUAAGAGAAAUCAACUAGCCAGUGAUGAAGACUGGCUGGAGACACUAGUAAUUUCAAAUAU